GGUCUAGCUUGCUAGACUGAUGGCGAGUGGCGAACGGGUGAGUAACGCGUAGGAAUAUGCCUUAAAGAGUGGGACAACUUGGGGAAACUCAAGCUAAUACCGCAUAAGCUCUGAGGAGUAAAGCUGGGGACCUUUGGGCCUGGCGCUUUAAGAUUAGCCUGCGUCCGAUUAGCUAGUUGGUAGGGUAAGGGCCUACCAAGGCGACGAUCGGUAGCUGGUCUGAGAGGAUGACCAGCCACACUGGGACUGAGACACGGCCCAGACUCCUACGGGAGGCAGCAGUGGGGAAUAUUGGACAAUGGGGGCAACCCUGAUCCAGCAAUGCCGCGUGUGUGAAGAAGGCCUGAGGGUUGUAAAGCACUUUCAGUGGGGAGGAGUGGUAUUUAGGUUAAGAGCUAGAAUAUUGGACGUUACCCACAGAAGAAGCACCGGCUAACUCCGUGCCAGCAGCCGCGGUAAUACGGAGGGUGCGAGCGUUAAUCGGAAUUACUGGGCGUAAAGGGUGCGUAGGUGGUUUGAUAAGUUAGCUGUGAAAUUCCUGGGCUUAACC
rnacentral:rRNA from 1 species